CACGGCCUCAGACAAUUACCCGUUACAAUUUACUAUGACCUUUCAGUCUACUAUUUGUUUGUUUGCGAUCGAUUUAGGAAGACUCUUUCCAACAUUAGAAGUUUUAGCAAUUUUCUAAUACAGAAACUGACAAACUAUUAAUAGUUGUAGCUACAAUUUUGAGGCUGUUUGGUUCACGGAUUGUAGCUACAGUGCGCAGCUCUCAAACGAAUAGGGUAUUUUCAAUAAAGGAUCAUUUAGUCGGGCGAUGAUAAUUAAAUCCAUCUCCUGGAACUGCACCAAGUAGCCUCGCAAAUUUAGAUUAUUGGAUGUAACAGUAAGCGUUCAAAGGAAUAAAUACAUUGGCUACUCUGCAGAACAUUAUCCAAAGAUCCCAGUAAAACACAGCAAGUUGGUGCGCGCGCGUGGUAGACCUCAAGUGAAAGAGCAGCGUAAGACGGAGGAGCAGUGCAGGUCUGACGGCCCUCUCGUCUGAUGAAUGUCAACCUGCCCUGACGGUUUUAUGGGUCUUUUUCUUCCGCUGAAGCUGCUGCGUCAGGCACAUCUCCCUGGGUGGAUUGUACCAGCGCGUCAAUUCUAGCAGAGCCCUCCUCCCCCUCCCCCCACCCCCCCAACAGUGCCCCACUCCCCUCCAGCCCGCUCACCAACUGACUGCCUCCGACCGACAUCAAAGCUCCUCUCCUCCUAGCCAUCCGGCUUCCCCUACUCCCCUUUCAUCUGCGCCGAGAGAGGGAUGUCUGUUUUC